CCUCCUUAAGAUAAGGUUUCCCUAGGUCGCAAGACCUCUAAAGGGCGCAGGAAGACUACCUGCUUGAUAGGCUGCGAGUGUAAGCGCUGCGAGGCGUUAAGCGAAGCAGUACUAAUCGCCCGUGCGGCUUGGCCGUAU
rnacentral:rRNA from 1 species